rnacentral:misc_RNA from 1 species
GGGUACAAUGAAGAAGGUAUAUGUUACUGUCAUUACUUUAUGUGCCAAGAUUCCGUCAUAUUAGGGAGGAAAUAUUGAAGAGGAAGAUAUUUUUCACUUAUAGUAUGGUGGAGAAACCCAACUAGACUGACAUCCAAUUGUGGAGUCCCCAUUACACUAAGGUUAAGUUGUUGAAUCCUAUAAAACUGGAAUGACGCAGGUUAUUGUCUAUGAUAACAAAUACUGAGGAGUGCAACAUCUGGUUAGAUAAGAUAUCAAGAAUGAUGCUUCAUGC